GUGCGGUCUGUGGCAACCGGACGCGACGGAACAGGAGAGCACGGGAACUUGCCGCUUUCUUUCCGUGGCCCAUAAACUGGCAGACGAGUUCCUGACCCGUCCAGGCC
rnacentral:sRNA from 2 species